CGUGUUUGUAACUUGGGGACUGCCUAUAUGUGUAUGUGUGUACAAAUACACACACACACACACACU
rnacentral:miRNA from 11 species